rnacentral:lncRNA from 1 species
AGAUCUCUUGAAUGAGAACCUGGGGGAAGAAUGAAGUUAUCAGUGUUUUAAGACUCCCCAGCUCAAAAACCAAAGGAAGUGAGGCCUCAUUUCUUUUGGCUUUGUCUUUUAAUUUAACCCUAAUUCAUCCUCACAAAGUCCCUAGAAGGCACAGGAGAAAAACAUCCACCAGAUUUGCCUCACUUAGUGCCUACUGAAUCCCCUGCCCACCCUGGUUCUUCUCAUCUCCCUCCCAGCGCCGCGGUAUGUGACACACUGGAGGAAGAGGAGAAAGAGCAACCAGGUCUGAGCUCCCAGGCCUUACAGUCUGACAAACCAGUCAGCACUUGCAGCUCCAAAGUCUUGUCCAGGAUGCACACAGACGUACUCAUCAUGUGGGCUGGGGUCAAGAGCGCUACUUCGAUCUACAUGGAGUCUCUUCCUUUUGGCCAGAUCAGGAUGGGUCAACUGCAAACUAAGACAAGAGGGACUGCUAGAAAGAACAGGGACAUGGAGAAGACCUGUGUUCAAGUGUGAGCCUUCGGGUGAGGGGGGAUCAGGUCCAGAAUGCUUUGCUUAACCCCAGCUCUGCUCUGACUUACCUAUGCCAUUAGACGAAUUGUUUAAUCACUCUUCCAAGUUCCCACCGCUCCUCCUGAUGUCAUGCUACAAAUCUCUAUUAACCGUUGGAAUAUUGUUGGAAAUUUAUGAAUAGUCCAUCCAACGUCAAUUAAUAAAGAAUGCCUUCUAUUUAGAGAUAUUUGAUCAUACUUAAAGCACUUGACAGAUGGUGAACAAAGUAUUAUUAUCCCCAUUUUAUGAAUUCAAAAACUGAGAUUUGGGUCCAUUGAUAAAAUUGCCCAAGAUCUUAAAGUUUUAUGUGACAGGCAGUGUCAAGAAAAAAAUCCAGGAUUUCUGGCUCCUAGGCCAGUGCUCUCCCACACUGCUCACUACGGCUGAAUUCCAUUGAAUGUAUCCGUGAGAAACAUAUUUCCAUUUCUACCUCCCUAGAAAAAAGAAAUGGUGGCCGGUGUGCCAUGUCCAGUUGUGACUGGUCCUUUUUCUAGAAUUGAAGGAAGAGUUCAGUUUCCAAAUAAAGUCGCAGCUGGAAAGAAAGUUUGCAAAAUGUGGAUUUCAUAUUAAAGAGUCUUUCUGAUUAGAGGGGAGUGGGAAAAAUGCCAAGGCAAAUGUAAUGGGAGACAGCUGGAGAUGCAGGUGUGCAGCCUUAUAAAUUACUCAGCAACUCUCCCCAGGAGCCCCCCAAGACCUACAGCUCAACGGGAAUACGGGUGCUCCCUUCCACCCAAGUAAUUCACAGGCCUGAGAGGAGGAUCAUGGCCAGGCCCUCCAGCUCCCCUCACGACAGGACCUAAUGGGCUUUAUUCCAAAGGCCAAGAGCGGUAGGCACCCUUAGGGAGUCUGCCCAGGUCACAACGAGCCUCUUUCUCUGAGAACUGCCUCCCACCCCUCAGGUGGAGCCAGCAGUC